CAGUGUUAGGCUUCGGCCUCAUUCACACCCCUUGUUGAACCUCUGGUUUCUUUGGCGAUGUCAUGGACUCGUCAAACUUUAACUCUGGGAAUGCGAUACUGUCCGAGUGCCAUUGAAUGAUUAA
rnacentral:misc_RNA from 1 species